GGACGUAUAGCUCAGUUGGAUAGAGCAACCGCCUUCUAAGCGGUCGGUCGCAGGUUCGAAUCCUGCUACGUCUG
rnacentral:tRNA from 1 species